ensembl:lncRNA
AGUACGGCCCUGUCCCCUGCUUCCUACCUUAAAAAUGAGUCCCAGAGUGCUGCUGCUACCUUGCCACCACGAGGGGACAAGCACAAGGAAGAAAUCCAAUAUGCAGGGCUCCAGUGAAAUAGAUGGUGCAUUCCAUUUGUUAAGUGAGUAUGUAACAAUACUGGCCAGAGUUGGGUAAAGCAGCAAAUAAGAAUCAUGGGACCCCACAGCCGACCUGCCUGCUACUGCUGCCUGCCUUUCCCUUCCUUGACACCAUUGAGCUCCGAUGACAAAGCUCUGAGUAGCAUUUUCCAGCCCCAGCUUUUCCACGGGUGGCAAGUCCAUUUGUCAAGGUGAAGCCCUGCAUGCUCCACCUUCGUUCUCUCCUGUGUCUCUGAGAUCCCGGGACAUGUUGCAGCACGUUGGCCGAUGGACAAUUCUGCCUCCUUCUAGAGAAGAAUGCCAAAGUAUAAUAAUCAACCCACCCCUGAGUAGUUGUGGUACCUAAAGGCGCAUGGACUCAGAAGUCUUCAGAGCAUCCCUUGAUAAGAGAACCUGAGCAAAAGUAAACAUCCUUCCAUUAGAGCAAGAGCUUCAAUCACACAUGUCCCUUCAGUGCAGCCGCCAUUGUUCUGCUCAAAGAAUGUGGGACGUUUUUAAAGAAGAGAAUUGGGUAGCAGUUACUUUUGCUGUAUAACAAAAUGUGGGGUAACGUUGCCAGCCUUAAAACAAUAACCAUGAUUUCUCAUGAUUUUGUGGGUUGACUGGGCAGUUAUUUGGGUCUGGAUCAGCUGGGCUAUGGUUGGAACGUCUAGACCCUUUAUCACAAUCUGCAGGUUGACAGGCUGUUUGGUCCCAGAACCUCCAGUUGUACAACUCUCUCUCUCUCUCUUUUUUAAAAAUUUAGUAAAGACUUAAUUUUAUAUUUAGAUUUAGCCAGCUGGACUCAGUUUAGAUUUUGUUAGCAACAUCCUAAGCAUCAGUCAGGAGCCAGUCGAACAUAUGCCUUCUUCUCUCCAUCAGGCCUGAUCAGAGUGUUGACUUUAGCUACAUCAAUGUCAUAGAAUUUCCUCACAGCCUGUUGAAUCUGCUGCUUGUUGACCUUGACAUCCGCAAUGAACACAAGUGUGUUGUUGUCUUCUGUCUUCUUCAUGGCUGACUCGGUGGUGAGGGGGAACUUGAUGCUGGCACAGUGGUCAAGCUUGCUUCUCCUAGGGGCGCUCNNNNNNNNNNNNNNNNNNNNNNNNNNNNNNNNNGUUUGGGCCAAGGUGGGUGACGUCUAGAUCUUGUAUUUUUUGUAGCCCUGGACACCUUUCAACACAGUAUUCUUGGCCUUCGAAGCCUUUGCUUUGGUUUCGGCUUCGGGAGGGGCAGGGUCUUCCUUCUUUACCUCAGGGUCAUCUUCAUGAAAAGUGGACAGCUCUCUUUCAUCCAUGUGGGGAAACCUGCCCAGGCUUCUUCUUAUGAAGAAGCCAUCAUUUGAAGAUGAAGCCGUCAUAUGGCCAUCUCCUUUUUGGUUUCCAAAGAGCAGCAAGCAAGGGCAGGAAGCUUUUGUAAGUCUCUGUUUGUGUCACCUUUGCUAUUGUCUCCCUGGCCAAAAGAAUUCACAUGACCAACUUCAGAGUCAGCAUGGGAAGAGUCUACCCUGAAAGAACGGAUACUGAGAGAAUACUUAUUAUGACCAUUUUUGUAAAAAACCUGACCACAGGGUCCACGAUUUCAUCCUGGCUAAUUAAUUAGAGGACCUCUUCACCCUGGCCAUAGUCAUUGGUUCAGGAUGAUCGUAUGGCUCAAGCUGGACAAUCAGAGUCCUUGCUGGUUAGAUGGAUUGUCUACAGCCCUGGUAGAAUGUGAAAUUGUAGAUAGUACAGUGGGAAAGGAUUGGUCAAAACACGAUAGGUCAAAACACAAAGGCAGGAGUUCCCGUCGUGGCGCAGUGGUUAACGAAUCCGACUAGGAACCAUGAGGUUGCGGGUUCGGUCCCUGCCCUUGCUCAGUGGGUUAACGAUCCGGCGUUGCCGUGAGCUGUGGUGUAGGUUGCAGACACGGCUCGGAUCCCGCGUUGCUUUGUAGCUGCUGGCCUAUGCAACAGCCACAGCAACACGGGAUCCAAGCCGCUUCUGUGACCUAUACCACAGCUCAUGGCUAUGCCAGAUCCUUAACCCACUGAGAGAGGCCAGGGAUCGAAUCUGCAUCCUCAUGGAUACUAGUGAGAUUCGUUUUCGCUGUGCCAUGGCAAGAACUCCUGAUGGUAACAUUGUUUGAGCCCCUGAAUAUAGUAACCUGCUGAGCCACUAGGGAACUCCAAGAAUUUUUUUUCCCCUUUUUUCUUUUCUGUCUUUGCUUUUUUUUUUUUUUUAAAUGGCUGUACUUGCAGCAUAUGGAAGUUCCCAGGCUAGGGGUUGAAUCAGAGCUACAGCUGCCAGCCUACACCACAGGCACGGCAAAGUGGGAUCCGAGCUGCAUUUGCGAUCCGAGCUGCAUCUGUGACCGGCUUAUGCCACAGCUCAAGGCAAUGCUGGAUCCUGAGCGAGGCCAGGAAUCGAACCAGAGACCUCAUGGAUACCAGUCGGAUUCAUUACCCCUGAGCCACAAAGGGAACUUCCCCAUAAUCUAUUUUAAGUUGGAUUUCUGACAGCUGCCACCAGAAUCCUAAUAAAAAGACCCAGACAGAUGGUCAAAGCAGAAAAUUUUUCUUUGCUAGGUUGAUGGUAAUGGCUGGGAGGAGUUUCCAUAGAUGUGGCGCUGGGGCUGCUUGUUACUCUGUUCCACUUAGUGUCCUUUCCCUUUGGGAGAGGAUUAAAUGCCUGGUAUUCUGUGGAUUGAUACCAAAUGAGUCGGAGUUAACCAAAGUAUCAAAUUGCUGCAUGUCAAUAACUUUUAUGCAUCUAUGCUCACCACCUAGAUUGCUUUCAUUCUUCCUUCCCUACUUUAUGGCCCCAACCAGUUUUAGAACAGAGCUAUUCUGGAAAGCACUCAUUGAGUCAAACUCGAUGUAAACUGUGAACUUAGCUAGUUACAUCAACUUUCCAAAUUAAACAGACUGUCCAGCACUUGGGAUACCAGAAGAACAUGAAGAAUCACAGGCCAGCUUUCUUGGGAAUUGUUUCUUAACUUAAUUUGGGCGUCAUUCAGUAGGAAAGAAAUGCCAAAUCAGACUUGAUAUUAAACAGAGGCCUGAAGCUAUAAAUAACACAAAUAAAGCAAAUCAAGAUCACUGUCUCAUUAGUAACAGGAGAGAAAAUAAAGUGAAAAUAAGAAAAGACCAGAUUGUGAACUUUGGAACAGAAAUAUCUGCAAGCAAGAGACCCUGAAUGAAAUCAAGUACAAUGAGAUGCUCAGUGUAGGCACCAUUACAAAAAACACACAAAACAGGAGCUAUUUCAAGAAAAAUUAACUAUGAGAUGCUUGAUCAAUAUAAAAUGCCACCUGAAUUAGGUAAGAAAGCCUGAACAGGAAGCUAAGAUAGUAGGAUUCUAGUCAAGGCUUUUCCCUAAAAGAUUGUAACCAUACAUAUUGGUGAUAAAUUUUCAGUGAGUACUUAAGUCCUAAAAAAACUCUUUCACAAGAAAAUAAAUUUAAACAAAAUAGAUGAUUCAUUUUCAAAGAUUUUGUUAGUUCUCAUAGACUAAUAUUUUUAUGGCCAAUUGCUUUGCAAACAACCAAAGCUAAAAAUAGCAUGGGGUCACCUAGGAGAUACAGUAUUCCCUAUCUAGUCUCUCUGAUACUAGACAGAAUAUUAAUAUUAAUUAGUAUUAGAAUAUUAAUAAAGAGUAUGCAGACACUUCUCUAAACACCUUUAAAAGCACACUUGGGCUUGGCUUCAUUUCAUUUACUGGCCUUUAUUCAACACAAAAUGUUAGCCAAUAUACUCCAAGCAUUUUUUUUUUUUGCUGCAGCAUACAGAAGUUCCCUGGCCAGCAACUGAAUCCAAGCCACAACAGUAACCUGAGCCACAGCAGUGACAACUUGGAGUCCUUUACGGCUAGGGAACUCAUACUCAAGCAUUUCUAUAUGAUUUUUUUGCUCACCGAGCUGGUUUAAAGAAACUCUCUACUUCUGUAAGUUCUCUUGACCUCUGCUACUUGUAUUUCUGGAAUAUCUAAGGGAAGGAGUGAAUUAUCAUUGGUACUUCUCAGUACCAUUAUUAUUCUGGAAAAAAAAUCAUUAAUCGGUGUUCCCUAACUUGGAGACUCAUUUACCUCAUUUAUUGAAUCUUACAAGAUAAAGUCUAGGCACUUGAGAUACAAAUCUCUAAGGGAGGAAU